AAAACUAGCCAGUCUUUUGGGUAUGAAACCCAUUUGGGCAAGANUGAAACCCAUUUGGGCAAGAGUAGUACUAGGAUGGGUGACCUCCUGGGAAGUCCUCGUGAAAGGGUUUC
rnacentral:rRNA from 1 species